AAUUGAUCAACUCUUGAUCAACCUUUAAACCUCUUGAUCAACUCCUUGAUCAGCCUUUGCUCCUUUCUUGAAGCUUUUUUGAUGUAUUUCAGCCACCAACCAAAAGGAGGAAGAAGGAGGGGACGCCCAACCAGAUUUGGGCAUGUAGAAACUUGGAUAUCCAAGCUUUAGGCAUUGGAGAAAGAGAGGGAGAGAGGGG
rnacentral:lncRNA from 1 species